rnacentral:rRNA from 1 species
ACGGGCGGAGUGUACAAGGCCCGGGAACGUAUUCACCGCAGCAUGCUGAUCUGCGAUUACUAGCAAUUCCGACUUCAUGCAGGCGAGUUGCAGCCUGCAAUCUGAACUGGGACGUUGUUUUUGAGUUUUGCUCCAUCUCGCGAUUUCGCUUCUCUUUGUUGAACGCCAUUGUAGUACGUGUGUAGCCCAAGUCAUAAAGGGCAUGAUGAUUUGACGUCAUCCCCACCUUCCUCCGUUUUGUCAACGGCAGUCUGAAUAGAGUCCUCUUGCGUAGUAACUAUCCAUAAGGGUUGCGCUCGUUGCGGGACUUAACCCAACAUCUCACGACACGAGCUGACGACAACCAUGCACCACCUGUCUCUGCGUCCCGAAGGAAAAGCACAUUUCUGUACUCGUCGCAGGAUGUCAAGACUUGGUAAGGUUCUUCGCGUUGCGUCGAAUUAAACCACAUACUCCACUGCUUGUGCGGGGCCCCCGUCA